UAAUUCAUUUAUGAAUGGAUAAGAACAGGAAAAUCAUAUUCCUGGUCGUACAUCAGCAAAAAACAUACAUCAUAAAAUAUUGACAAUAUAUUCAAUAGACAAAAUGUGUCAUUGCACAAAGAGAAGUGGUAACCUUUCUUUCUCUUCUUCUUGGUCCUUUCAUCCCAGGCGUUGGCACUGACAAGGGACACGUUGCCCUGGCCCAGGGAGGGCAGCAGUUUGGGCCGGGGGUCCACAGGGGGUUUGGGGAGCUUCUUUGGAGGAGGAGCAUCCCUCUGGGCUCUCCUGGCCAGCAGGGGUCCUGUCUGGACGAAGGCUUCAGGCCUGAUGAUGUCCCUGGGUGCGCUGCUGCUCCCUCUUGCAGCCUCCUCUGGCUGGGCAGCUUUCGGCAUGGAGAGAACAAACACAUUGUUGCUGAAGCUGCAUGACUCUGAAAGGGCCAGCUCCUCCAGGGUCAGAGGGCAGGCAGGACGUGACUCAGGCUGGACCAGACUCACAGCAGGACAGGACUCAAACUGGACUAGGUCCACAAUGCUGGUAGUGAUGCUCACAGGACUGGGAGGUCGGGACUCAAGAAUAACGGGACAAACAGGAUUACUGGGCCUCACUUUUCUCCUAGUGGUGCUCCGAGGGUUGCUCGGCCUCCCCUCAGGUCUGGAAGGCUGUACAUAAGACUGGACCAGGCCAACGGGGCUAACAGGCCGUCUAUUGGGGCAUUGAGGGUUAGAAGGCCUCCCCUCAGGUCUGGAAGGCUGUACGUCAAGCUGGACCAGGCCAACGGGGCUAACAGGCCGUCUAGUGGGGGGCCGAGGGUUGCUUGGCCUCCCCUCAGGUCUGGAAGGCUGUACGUCAGGCUGGACCAGGACAACGGGGCUAACAGGCCGUCUAGUGGGGCGUCGAGAGUUGCUAGGCCUCCCCUCAGGUCUGGAAGGCUGUACGUCAGGCUGGACCAGGACAACGGGGCUAACAGGCCGUCUAGUGGGGCGUCGAGAGUUGCUAGGCCUCCCCUCAGGUUUGGAAGGCUGUACGUCAGGCUGGACCAGGACAACUGGUCUAACAGGCCGUCUAGUGGGGCGUCGAGAGUUGCUUGGCCUCCCCUCAGGUUUGGAAGGCUGUACGUCAGACUGGACCAGGACAACUGGUCUAACAGGCCGUCUAGUGGGGCGUCGAGAGUUGCUUGGCCUCCCCUCAGGUCUGGAAGGCUGUACGUCAGGCUGGACCAGGACAACUGGUCUAACAGGCCGUCUUGUGGGGCGUCGAGGGUUGCUAGGCCUCCCCUCAGGUCUAGUGAUGCUGACAGGGAUUCUAGGAAUCAUCAUCUCAUGCUGGUGCAGGCUCUCUGGGCUGCUGGGCCGGGAAUCAGGUAGAAGCUUGUAGUUCUUCAGAACCUCAGUGAAGGAGAGCUCCUUGUUGCGCCUGCGUC
rnacentral:lncRNA from 1 species